rnacentral:rRNA from 1 species
GAUGAACGCUGGCGAGAUGCUUUACACAUGCAAGUCGUACGAGAGUUUUCGGACUCAGUGGCGGACGGGUGAGUAACACGUAAGAAUUUGCCUUUAGGAGGGGGACAACAAUUGGAAACGAUUGCUAAUACCCCAUAUGCUUUCGAGUGAAAUGGAUUUAUUGCCUAAAGUAGAAGCUUGCGGCUGAUUAGCUUGUUGGUAAGGUAAUGGCUUACCAAGGCGACGAUCAGUAUCUGGUUUGAGAGGACGAUCAGACACACUGGAACUGAGACACGGUCCAGACUCCUACGGGAGGCAGCAGUGGGGAAUUUUCCGCAAUGGGCGAAAGCCUGACGGAGCAAUCUCGCGUGAGGGAUGACGGCCUAUGGGUUGUAAACCUCUUUUUUCAGGGAGGAAUAAAAUGACGGUACCUGAGGAAUAAGCAUCGGCUAACUCCGUGCCAGCAGCCGCGGUAAUACGGAGGAUGCAAGCGUUAUCCGGAAUGAUUGGGCGUAAAGCGUCCGCAGGUGGUUUUGUAUGUCUGCUGUUAAAGCGUGCGGCUUAACCGCAUAAGGGCGGUAGAAACUACAAGACUAGAGUACGUUCGGGGCAGAGGGAAUUUCCCAGUGUAGCGGUGAAAUGCGUAGAGAUUGGGAAGAACAUCGGUGGCGAAAGCGCUCUGCUAGGCCUGUACUGACACUGAGGGACGAAAGCUAGGGGAGCGAAUGGGAUUAGAUACCCCAGUAGUCCUAGCCGUAAACGAUGGAUACUAGGCGUUGUCUGUAUCGACCCGGACAGUGCCGUAGCUAACGCGUUAAGUAUCCCGCCUGGGGAGUACGCAGGCAACUGUGAAACUCAAAGGAAUUGACGGGGGCCCGCACAAGCGGUGGAGUAUGUGGUUUAAUUCGAUGCAACGCGAAGAACCUUACCAGGGCUUGACAUGUCGCGAAUCCUUGUGAAAGCAGGGAGUGCCUUCGGGAGCGCGAACACAGGUGGUGCAUGGCUGUCGUCAGCUCGUGUCGUGAGAUGUUGGGUUAAGUCCCGCAACGAGCGCAACCCUCGUUUUUAGUUGCCAGCAUUAAGCCGGGCACUCUAGAGAGACUGCCGGUGAUAAACCGGAGGAAGGUGGGGAUGACGUCAAGUCAGCAUGCCCCUUACGUCCUGGGCUACACACGUACUACAAUGCUACGGACAAAGGGCAGCAAGCAUGCGAAUGCAAGCAAAUCCCAUAAACCGUGGCUCAGUUCAGAUCGCAGGCUGCAACUCGCCUGCGUGAAGGCGGAAUCGCUAGUAAUCGCAGGUCAGCACACUGCGGUGAAUACGUUCCCGGGCCUUGCACACACCGCCCGUCAAGCAUGGAAGCUGGUAGUGCCCGAAGUCAUUACUCCAACCUUUCGGGGAGGAGGAUGCCUAUGGCAGGACUGGUGACUGGGGUCAAGUCGU